AUGUUGCUUUAGCAACGGCCCGAAGGGCGAGGCGAAGCCGAGUCAUCCUGCACGACCCACCA
rnacentral:sRNA from 1 species